UACGAAGGGGGCUAGCGUUGUUCGGAAUCACUGGGCGUAAAGCGCGUGUAGGCGGACUGUUAAGUCGGGGGUGAAAUCCCGAGGCUCAACCUCGGAAUUGCCUUCGAUACUGGCAGUCUUUGAGUCCGGGAGAGGUGAGUGGAACUCCUAGUGUAGAGGUGAAAUUCGUAGGUAUUAGGAAGAACACCAGUGGCGAAGGCGGCUCACUGGCCCGGUACUGACGCUGAGGCGCGAAAGCUAGGGGAGCAAACGGG
rnacentral:rRNA from 1 species